rnacentral:lncRNA from 1 species
CAGCUGCCAUGCAAGCAUGAAAUCCUGUGCCGUCCAUCAGGUCACCUACCAAAUCAGUCCCGCAUCAAGGCCCCGCGAUUAUUUCCUUCUCAACCAUCCAGCCAAUCAUCAACAUCCCAAAUAAAUCCAUUCCUCCCAGCCUCCUGCAGUGCAUCACGGUCGUCCAUCCUCUCCAGCUCCAAGCUUCCAGAUUCUCACAAGCAUCCCGCAAACCCAGCUCACCCCAUGCGCGCCCCAUUCCGUGCGAUCACGGGAGACCCCAUCCCACGCGCAUCUCCUUCCUUCCGCGACUGAUCCAGCAUCACGCGGCCGUGAUCAGCUCCUUCCUCUUCAGCGCGUCCCCAACUUCUUUCACAGCCGUGGCAUCCGUCCCAGCUCUCCCGUGCCAUGAAUGUCCCAGCCGGCACGUCCAAAGAAGGAAACCAUGGAUCAGCCCGUCUGCUUCGUCCACAUCUCCAGCCUCCGACGUCGCGUCCGUGAUCCACGCCUCCUCCCAGGCGCCCGUUCGAAGCAGCUUCU